UACGUAGGGGGCAAGCGUUGUCCGGAUUUAUUGGGCGUAAAGAGCGUGUAGGCGGUUUGGUAGGUCCGCUGUGAAAACUCGAGCUCAACCUCGAGACGCCGGUGGAAACCAUCAGACUAGAGUCCGGAAGAGGAGAGUGGAAUUCCUGGUGUAGCGGUGAAAUGCGCAGAUAUCAGGAAGAACACCCGUGGCUAAGGCGGCCUC
rnacentral:rRNA from 1 species